CGUUCUGCGGCUUAGUUGGUUAAAGCGCCGGUCUAGCGAAUACGGAGUCAUGGGUUCGAAUCCCACUAGAACGC
rnacentral:tRNA from 1 species